CAGAAGGGGCCUAAGAGAUCGUCUGUACUUCACAAGUGAGGAUGAGGUCCAGUGGACCCCACGCUCAUCUUGCCCUACCUUCCUGCCAAUGCCUGCUCCCAGACCAAACGAGAUGAGACGGCACCAACAAGCAAUCCAAGUCCACAGCUGACAAAACAACCCACGGCACACGUCCUGUGCCCAGAUGGAUGGGGACCGGGGGUCAACUGUGUCAUCUGUCCCCAUGAAGAGAGCAUGUUAUUACGAUUCUUUUCCAUUACAGGUUAUUACAAGAUGGACUUCCCUGGUGGCUCAGACGGUAACGCGUCUGUCUACAAUGCGGGAG
rnacentral:lncRNA from 1 species